UACGUAGGGCCGAGCGUUGUCCGGAGUUAUUGGGCGUAAAGCGCGCGCAGGCGGCCUCGCGCGCCCGACGUGAAAGCCCCCGGGCUUAACCGGGGAGGGUCGUUGGGGACGGCGGGGCUUGAGGGCGGGAGAGGUCGGUGGAAUUCCCGGUGUAGUGGUGAAAUGGCGUAGAUAGUGCGGAGGAACACCGAUGGCGAAGGCAAUCCCCUGGACCUGUACUGACGCUCAUGCACCGAAAGGCGUGGGGAGCAAACAGG
rnacentral:rRNA from 1 species